AGAAUGAAGAGCUGCCUUUGGCUCUGGCUAGGAUAUCAUCAUAUACUGUAAGUUCACUAUUAAUGUACUACAGUAUAGAUGAUGUACUAUUCAGUGCUCGCUUACAUAACCAACACAAG
rnacentral:pre_miRNA from 17 species